AUUGAACGCUGGCGGCAGGCUUAACACAUGCAAGUCGAGCGAGCGGCGGACGGGUGGGUAAUGUCUGGGAAACUGCCUGAGGGAGGGGGCUAACUACUGGAAACGGUAGCUAAUAACGCAUACCAUCAGAUGUGCCCAGAUGGGAUGAGCUAGUAGGUGGGGUAAUGGCUCACCUAGGGGACGAUCCCUAGCUGGUCUGAGAGGAUGACCGGCCACACUGGAACUGAGACACGGUCCAGACUCCUACGGGAGGCAGCAGUGGGGAAUAUUGCACAAUGGGCGCAAGCCUGAUGCAGCCAUGCCGCGUGUGUGAAGAAGGCCUUCGGGUUGUAAAGCACUGUCAGUGAGGAGGCGUUACUCACAGAAGAAGCACCGGCUAACUCCGUGCCAGCAGCCGCGGUAAUUC
rnacentral:rRNA from 1 species